UACACUGUGUAUUUCAGACAUGUGACAAAAGGAGUGAUGAUGCCACAGAGGACAGCAUGAAAUCUUUGUUUUUUAUCUUUCUCUUCUAGCGUCCUGUCUCUGCACAGUCCCGAUCUACAAAUGCCAAACUACGUUCUCGACCUCUCUCUGCUAGUGAUGCUGAAAUGAAAAAUCUUAUGUCAU